rnacentral:rRNA from 1 species
CAUGAGUAGAGUGGCACACGGGUGAGUAWCACGUGGGUGACCUGCCUUCGAGUGGGGGAUAWCGUCYCGAAAGGGACGCUAAUACCGCAUAACAUCUUGCCUUUGAARAGGYGGAGAUACAAAGCUGGGGAUCGCAAAGACCUGGCGCUUGAAGAGGGGCCCGCGCCUGAUUAGCUAGUUGGUGGGGUAAYGGCUCACCAAGGCUACGAUCAGUAUCCGGCCUGAGAGGGCGGACGGACACACUG